CUCAGCGGUCACUUCUGCAUUUACUUUCCUCUUUAUUCCAGAAGCGGAGGGAAUAAAAGCAGCAGCGGGGCUCGUGAGGGGGCUGUGAGGGGGCCUCAGCGCCGUUAAACCGCUUUUGGGGUGUCCCCAUUUACCGGCUCCGUCCGCUUCACGGGGCGACCCUCGCUGCAAGAGCAAUGGGCGGCAGGGACGAGGUGCCGAGACAACGGCCGGCCCAGCUCUCCUCCAAUCACUGGCCCCGUUACUUUGGGCCCUCCGGCAGGCAUCCAAUCACAGGUGAACUCUCAGAGCCUUGAUGCGCGUGGUUGGGAGUGCGCAGCUGCGCAUGCGUCUUAAGGUGGCUCUGGAGGCUGGGUGGGGCCUACCGGAGCCGCCGCCGUCCCCAAGGUGGGCAGCGGCCGCCGCCGCAGUCCGGCGGGGGGAGCGGGGUGCUGCGGCUCGUCCCGGGCCGCCCUUCUCCUCUGCCCUGGCCGGGGCUCCGGAGGCGCCUGCCCGCAGCCGGGCUGUGGUGGUGCCGGUGCCGGCACCGUCCCGUCCAGUCCGAAACGAGCGGCGGAACCCGGCACUUCCCGCCCGCCCCCUCGGGACCCUGCGCCGCAGGAGGGCUCACCCCAUAGGCUGGGCCAGGCCCCGCCCUCACCCGGCAGCCAAUCCCCGCCAGGAGCCCGGGUCCGGCCGUGGAGUGACGGGGCUGGGGGCAAAUCGGAGGCGCCGGGCCGGAGCCGGCCGCGGCGCUGGGGCCUGGAGCCGAGGUGGGUGCCGAGGGGCCGGGCCAUGGGGGCAGAGCGGCAGGGCUGGGGCCGCAGACACCUGUAAUGAGUCUGGCUCUGAGGAAUUCAGCCUCCAAACUCUGCUCGCAGCGAUUACACUGAAAUAACCUCAGCAUGAAGAGCAGCACUGUCAUCCACAGCACGUGGGGAUGGGGUGACGAAUGUAGUGCUGCGUCCUGAACAAACAACAGAGACAGCAGAGAGCAGAGAAAUGAAAAGCAGCAUUUGGAGGACUUCAGAGACUUCAAUAAGAGCUUUCCAAAUGGCAAGGCCUGAUGUUAAAUGCCAGCUGAGUAUGUCACCCCUGGGGCUAUGCCAGUGUGUGCGCUUCUGUGCUUGAGACUGCAAGAAGGGAGUUCUCUGUAGCCUUUCUUUCUGUAGUAUUUAAUGCAUAUUUUGGACCAUUGAGUUAAUUUGACUUAAUUCUUUGUUGUCUUUGUU
rnacentral:lncRNA from 14 species